rnacentral:rRNA from 1 species
CGGGAGGCAGCAGUUAGGAAUCUUCGGCAAUGGGCGAAAGCCUGACCGAGCGACACUGCGUGGAGGAUGAAGGUUUUCGGAUCGUAAACUCCUGAACGAGGGACGAAAAAUGACGGUACCUCGCUAAUAGCACCGGCUAACUCCGUGCCAGCAGCCGCGGUAAUACGGAGGGUGCGAGCGUUAUCCGGAAUCACUGGGCGUAAAGGGCGCGUAGGCGGUUUGUCAAGUCCGAUGUUAAAGCGUGAGGCUCAACCUCAUCACGGCGUUGGAUACUAGCAAGCUUGACGGUUGGAGAGGAAGGUAGAAUUACCAGUGUAGCGGUGGAAUGCGUAGAUACUGGUAGGAAUACCCAUUGCGAAGGCAGCCUUCUGGACAACACGUGACGCUGAGGCGCGAAAGUGUGGGGAGCAAACCGGAUUAGAUACCCGGGUAGUCCACACCCUAAAC